GCAAACUUGGUCAUUUAGAGGAAGUAAAAGUCGUAACAAGGUAACCGUAGGUGAACCUGCGGUUGGAUCAUUACAGAAAAAUAUGUUCGCUCGGACAGACUUUUUUGGCUGCUGACGAUGCAUAUUCCACACCUUUUUGUGAACGUUUCCUGUAUUUUGGCGGCCGCGUUUGAAGGGGAUUUGCGUGGGAAUUUUUUUGAAGUGUCAAAAAUUUCCCCGUCCCUGCGGUCGCCAGCCAAUUCUUCAAACUCCAGUGUCAUUUUUCUGUGUGUUAUUGCCUCUCAUGAGGUUAUUUCAAUAUGAAAACAACUUUUGACAACGGAUCUCUUGGCUCUCGCAUCGAUGAAGAACGCAGC
rnacentral:misc_RNA from 1 species